rnacentral:rRNA from 1 species
CCUACGGGUGGCAGCAGUGAGGAAUAUUGGUCAAUGGGCGCGAGCCUGAACCAGCCAAGUAGCGUGAAGGAUGACUGCCCUACGGGUUGUAAACUUCUUUUAUAAAGGAAUAAAGUGAGGCACGUGUGCCUAUUGGUAUGUACUUUAUUAAUAAGGAUCGGCUAACUCCGUGCCUGCAGCAGCGGUAAUACGGAGGUUCCGAGCGUUAUCCGGAUUUAUUGGGUUUAAAGGGAGCGUAGAUGGGUUGUUAAGUCAGUUGUGAAAGUUUGCGGCUCAACCGUAAAAUUGCAAUUGAUACUGGCAGUCUUGAGUACAGUUGAGGUAGGCGGAAUUCGUGGUGUAGCAGUGAAAUGCUUAGAUAUCACGAAGAACUCCGAUUGCGAAGGCAGCUUACUAAACUGCCACUGACAUUGAUGCUCGAAGGUGUGGGUAUCAAACAGGAUUAGAUACCCCAGUAGUC